AUUGAACGCUGGCGGCAGGCCUAACACAUGCAAGUCGAGCGAGCGGCGGACGGGUGAGUAAUGUAUGGGAAACUGCCUGAUGGAGGGGGAUCACUACUGGAAACGGUAGCUAAUACCGCAUACCAUCAGAUGUGUCCAGAUGGGAUUAGCUAGUGGGGGGGGUAAUGGCUCACCUAGGCGACGACCCCUAGCUGGUCUGAGAGGAUGACAGGCCAAAAUGGAACUGGGACACGGUCCAGACUCCUACGGGAGGCAGCAGGGGGGAAUAUUGCACAAGGGGCGCAAGCCGGAUGCAGCCAUGCCGGGUGUGGGAAGAAGGCCUUCGGGUUGUAAAGCACUUUCAGCGAGGAGGCGUUACUCGCAGAAGAAGCACCGGCUAACUCCGUGCCAGCAGCCGCGGUAAUUC
rnacentral:rRNA from 1 species